AAGUCGUAACAAGGUCUCCGUAGGUGAACCUGCGGAGGGAUCAUCAAAGAAAAAAAAAAAGAAUAAUAUUCUUAAACCCCAAGUGUUAGGGAAAGAAAGGGGGAAAGAGAGAAGAGCAUUGCUAUUUUUUUCCUUCCUUCUUUCUUUUUCUUAAUGCUUCAAACAAACGAUCACAACUAGAAAGAGAGAGAGAGAGAGAGAGGAAAUGGAUACUUGGUUUUCUUUUUUUGAAAGAAUAAGUGCUUGCCUGAUAAUCUGAUUAUUGGAAUUGGAAAGAGAAAAAAAAAUAUACAACUUUCAACAACGGAUCUCUUGGCUCUCA
rnacentral:misc_RNA from 1 species